GUAGGUGGCAAGCGUUGUCCGGAAUUAUUGGGCGUAAAGCGCGCGCGGGCGGUUCUUUAAGUCUGAUGUGAAAGCCCACGGCUCAACCGUGGAGGGUCAUUGGAAACUGGAGAACUUGAGUACAGAAGAGGAAAGCGGAAUUCCACGUGUAGCGGUGAAAUGCGUAGAGAUGUGGAGGAACACCAGUGGCGAAGGCGGCUUUCUGGUCUGUAACUGACGCUGAGGCGCGAAAGCGUGGGGGGCAAACAGGAUUAGAUACCCUGGUAGUCCACGCCGUAAACGAUGAGUGCUAAGUGUUAGGGGGUUUCCCGCCCCCCUUAGUGCUGCAGCUAACGCAUUAAGCACUCCGCCUGGGGAGUACGGCCGCAAGGCUG
rnacentral:rRNA from 1 species